CAACAUAGAUAAGGACUUGCCUU
rnacentral:siRNA from 1 species